AUGUUGAUUGACAUUUUUGAAGGGGACUUAGGAGCUCUGUCAAAGGUCCAGCUGGUGGAGUGCGGAAGGGAUGUGAAAAAGCCUGGAGACUCUCUCCGCCUCUCCUGCAAGGCCUCCGGCUUCUUCAUCAGUAGCAAGUGGCUGGAUCGGAUCCGUCAUGUUCCUGGGAAGGGACUGGAGUGGGUCUCCAGUGUAGACAGUGCAGGUACCCCAUAUUACCUGGACUCAGGGAAAGGGCAAUUCACCAUCUCCAGAGAUGCCUCAGGUAACCUGGUGCAUUUGCACAUCAGCAGCCUGAAACCUGAGGAUGACAGUGUGUAUCCUUGUGCUUGA